UACGUAGGGCGCGAGCGUUAUCCGGAAUUAUUGGGCGUAAAGAGCUCGUAGGCGGUUUGUCGCGUCUGCCGUGAAAGUCCGGGGCUUAACCCCGGAUCUGCGGUGGGUACGGGCAGACUGGAGUGCAGUAGGGGAGACUGGAAUUCCUGGUGUAGCGGUGAAAUGCGCAGAUAUCAGGAGGAACACCGAUGGCGAAGGCAGGUCUCUGGGCUGUUACUGACGCUGAGGAGCGAAAGCAUGGGGAGCGAACAGG
rnacentral:rRNA from 1 species